UAGGGAAUCUUCCGCAAUGGACGAAAGUCUGACGGAGCAACGCCGCGUGAGUGAAGAAGGAUUUCGGUUCGUAAAACUCUGUUGUUAGGGAAGAAAAAAUGUAUAGUAACUAUAUACAAAAGAGACGGUACCUAACCAGAAAGCCACGGCUAACUACGUGCCAGCAGCCGCGGUAAUACGUAGGUGGCAAGCGUUGUCCGGAAUUAUUGGGCGUAAAGCGCGCGCAGGUGGUUUAGAAAGUCUGAUGUGAAAGCCCACGGCUCAACCGUGGAGGGUCAUUGGAAACUAAUAAACUUGAGUGCAGGAGAGAAAAGUGGAAUUCCUAGUGUAGCGGUGAAAUGCGCAGAUAUUAGGAGGAAUACCGGUGGCGAAGGCGACUUUCUGGCCAUAUACUGACGCUGAGGUACGAAAGCGUGGGUAGCAAACAGG
rnacentral:rRNA from 1 species